rnacentral:lncRNA from 1 species
GGGUGGCACCGACCCAUUAUCCUUCCACCACCAGGAGCGGGAGGUGAUCGUUGCUCUGUGAAGCCAGCCUUACGCAAUUCCCUCCACUCUAGGAACCAUGAAGCCCAAAGCCUUCGCCCAAGCCACAUGGCCCAACUUCUAGCUUGGAAUGGGCAGGCCAGAAUAGAGCCACUCCGAACCGACCCACUAUAUUGGGCCAAUGUUCCAACACCU